AAGUCGUAACAAGGUUUCCGUAGGUGAACCUGCGGAAGGAUCAUUAUCGAGUUUUGACUGGGUUGUAGCUGGCCUUCCGAGGCAUGUGCACGCCCUGCUCAUCCACUCUACACCUGUGCACUUACUGUGGGUUACAGAUCGUGAAACGGGCUCUUUACCGAGCUCGCGGAGCGCCACCUGUGCCCGCGUUUAUCACAAACUCUAUAAAGUAUUAGAAUGUGUAUUGCGAUGUAACGCAUCUAUAUACAACUUUCAGCAACGGAUCUCUUGGCUCUC
rnacentral:misc_RNA from 1 species